rnacentral:lncRNA from 1 species
UUAGGAACCAGUCUUUUACGGGUAGACUCACACCUUAGAGUAUCAAGGGCACUCUUAAGAACCUCUAACUUUUACGGGUAAGUUAGUACCUUAGAGUAUUCAAGGAACUCUUAAAAACCUCUCUAAGCUUUAAGGCUACUACGCUUAGGAACCAGUCUUUUACGGGUAGACUCACACCUUAGAGUAUUCAAGGAACUCUUAAAAACCUUUGAGAUCUUUAAAGGUAGACUCAACCUAAGAGUUUUCCCGGAAACUCUAUAAAACCAAACUAGAGCUUUAUGGUUGAGCUCACAAACCUUCUCUAACACUUUGGUACUAUUGAGACAACCCUCUCAACCAAAGUGGACACACACAAGAGGUGAUUAGAGGAGUGGAAUAUCAAAGCAAACAACACUUCUUACUUGUACAGAUGAACAAGAAGAUUAGAAGAAGAAGUUGGAGAGCUUUUGAAGCUUUAGAAAGCUUGGACACUUGAGCACUUGAAAGCUUGGAAGCUUGGAGGCAAAAACGUGUG